rnacentral:miRNA from 1 species
AUCUCAGAAGCUAAGCAGGCUCGGGCCUGGUUAGUUCUCGGAUGGGAGAAGUGGUUCUGGCUGAGGUUGGAAGGUGGCUUCCC